rnacentral:ncRNA from 19 species
UUCGCGGCUGGAGAUCGCAUUCUCCAUUAACCGCCCCUGGGGCUGAUGAUGCCUGCUACGCC